rnacentral:rRNA from 1 species
UGGGGAAUAUUGCGCAAUGGGCGAAAGCCUGACGCAGCGACGCCGCGUGAAGGAAGAAGGCCUUCGGGUUGUAAACUUCUUUUAGCAGGGACGAAGGACGUGACGGUACCUGCAGAAAAACGCAACGGCUAACUACGUGCCAGCAGCCGCGGUAAUACGUAGGUUGCGAGCGUUGUCCGGAAUUACUGGGUGUAAAGGGCGUGUAGGCGGAGCUGCAAGUCAGAUGUGAAAUGUCAUGGCUCAACCAUGGAACUGCAUUUGAAACUGUGGCCCUUGAGUAUCGGAGAGGCAAGCGGAAAUUCCUAGUGUAGCGGUGAAAUGCGUAGAUAUUAGGAGGAACACCAGUGGCGAAGGCGGCUUGCUGGACGACAACCAACGCUGAGGCGCGAAAGCGUGGGGAGCAAACAGGAUUAGAUACC